GACAUCAACUCAGGUAAGACUACCCGCUGAAUUUAAGCAUAUUAAUAAGCGGAGGAAAAGAAACUAACAAGGAUUCCCUCAGUAACGGCGAGUGAAGCGGGAAGAGCUCAAAUUUGGAAUCGCCAUUUGGUGAAUUGUAGUUAAUAGAGGUGUUUUCGGAGUGGACGCGCGGCCAAAGUUUCUUGGAACAGAACGUCAUGGAGGGUGAGAACCCCGUUUGAGCUGCGCUGAAAUUCUUACGAUACGCUUUCUACGAGUCGGGUUGUUUGGGAAUGCAGCCCUAAAUGGGUGGUAAAUUUCAUCUAAAGCUAAAUAUUGGCACGAGACCGAUAGCGAACAAGUACCGUGAGGGAAAGAUGAAAAGCACUUUGAAAAGAGAGUCAAAAAGUACGUGAAACCGCUGGAAGGGAAACGAAUAAAGUCAGCAGAGUGUCGUUCUACUCAGCUUGUGGGCGGGUGGCGUUGGGCAGCUGGAACCGCAAGGUCUGGCUGUUUGGCUUUAAGCUUGCGCAUGAGUGUAUUUGGGGCGUGCACAGGUCAAUGUGGGUUUCUGGCGCUGGAUAAGAUUGCUGGAAGGUAGCUCGGGUUUUUGCUCGAGUGUUACAGUCAGGAAUUCCUGCAGCGUUGGGGACUGAGGCCGAUUGGAACGACUUGGCUUCGGCACAUACGUUCCUUGGACAUUGACGAAAUGACUUUAUCCGACCCGUCUUGUAACACGGACC
rnacentral:rRNA from 1 species